rnacentral:lncRNA from 1 species
AUGAGUUCUCAAGGGACUGGGCUAGUGACUGUGAGAACAAGUUGUUAUCAAAUGAGGCUGCCUCUCCUGUGUACUAUUUUUGCACCUGUCUGGUUUUCCUUCUACUUCUCUAGCAUGUUAUGCCACAGCACAAUGCCCUCACCGGAAGCCAACCAGAUAUGGCCCGUUGAUCUUGGAUUUUCCAGCCUUACCCAGUCUCAGAUUCAACUUGGACUGGAAUCUACACCAUUAGCUGUCCUGUUUCUGAAGCCUUUGGGGUUGGACUGGAACUACGCCAUCUGCCGACUUGCUGGAUGUUCAGUUUGCCUGCUGCAAAUCCUGAGAUUUCUCAGCCUCCACAGUCAUGUGAGCCAAUUCCUUAUUAUCUGUCUGUCUAUCAUCUAUCUCUAACCUAUCGGUUCUGCUUUCCUGAAGAAUCCUGACUAGAACACCCUCUGAUCUUUAUAACUGAGUAAGCUUGAAUAUCAAGAGAUAUCAUUAUGAGGUAGGAAUUCAUCAGGACUUACUUUCUGAGCACAGGUUGACCCUGGCUGCAACCCUGCUAAUUAAAGCCACAUCUUGUUGAAAGAGGGAGCAGUGAAAAAGCCCGCUGAAACCAGUGGAUGGCGAUGAAAGCAAGCUCUAGUUGCCCUCACUCCUCAUUAACAUGAAGACACUCCCACUGGUGCCAUGACAGUUUAUAAAUGCCAUGGCAAUGGGCUUUGGCAAAGACCAGAAAGUUACCUUAUAUGGUCCUGGAAAUACCUCAAAAGUUCUAGAAACAUUUUUCCAGAAAGUUCUGCAUGGCCCACUGAAUUUGGUUGGCAGUUGUAUUUAUAAGCACAUUUAAUUACAUGCUAAUUAAUAUAAUUAAAAGUGGGUAUAAAUACAGAGACCCACACCCCAUAUACUGCUGCUCUGGGCACAGCUGCCAUGGGGUAGACCUGCUCCAUGAGGGACAAUACCUCUGUUGCUACUGUACAUUGCUGCUACAAUGAAAUUGCUGACUCCGCCAGCGUGCUUUUGGAUUAUUUCCUAGGUGAAGACAAAAACCCUCCCAGGUGAAGCCCCAGUUUAGGGGUUCACCUGCCCUCCAUCAAUUAGACUUUGUAGAGGAAAGAGAAUCACUGAAGUAGUUAGAAGUAUAUACGAGGUGGAAGGAGUUUUUAUUUAGUAUUGACAUAAUAAUGGCUGAUGUUUAUUGUCAAUUUUCUAAGCUCCAGGCACUGUACUAAGUAUUUUUCCAUGCAUUGACACAUUUGAAUCUCACUACAACCCUAUGAGUUAGAUACUGCUAUCAUUAAUUUACUGCUGAGGAAACUGAGGCACAAAGUGAUUGUCACUUGCCUAGCCCUUGAGACUAGAAGAGGCCCUUUCUCUGUGGAAACUGAACGGAGAAGAUGGGGUCCUGAGGCAGUUAACAGUCAGGAGAAAAAUCUUACAUUCAUUUACGAAAUUGCCAUUUCUUUGAGAAUGAUACUAUUUUAAUUUUUAACCCCAAUGUUAAAUUUUAAUUAAAAAUUUUAAUUUUUAACCCCAAUGUUCUCAUUGUUCCUCACAUGAACCUUCUACUCAAGCCUGAAAUGUUCCAACAUCUGUAGCUCUGUUUACAGUAUGUCUUGUUUCAUCUUCUUGUCAUUUUCUUGGGUUUAACCUCAAUCUCAUCUUCAAAAAACCUUGAACCAUCAGGCUCAGGGAGACUCCUCUGUUCUCCGAAGUUUUUCUAUCCACAGGGACACAAUGUUGCACCAUUUUACCACUGAUUUGAUUGCUUUUCUUUUAUUACCCUUUGGCCAUUUUGUUUUGUUUUGUUUUCCGAAGAAGAUAACAGGCAAUUAUUUCUCUGAAUACUUGGCAAACAAUAUUUUUCCUUUGAUUGAUUUAGAGAUCAUGACAAAUCUACUCUAAAAAGCAC